rnacentral:rRNA from 1 species
UCCGUAGGCAGCAAGCGUUGUUCGGAAUUACUGGGCGUAAAGAGUGUGUAGGCGGUGCUCUAAGUCUGUUGUGAAAUCUCCCGGCUUAACCGGGAGGGUGCGGCGGAAACUGGAGUGCUUGAGGGUGGGAGAGGUAAGCGGAAUUCCGGGUGUAGCGGUGAAAUGCGUAGAUAUCCGGAGGAACACCGGUGGCGAAGGCGGCUUCCUGGACCGAUACUGACGCUGAGGCGCGAAAGCUAGGGGAGCAAACGGG